GCUUACCGGAGACCUGUAUGGUCACACUCCUCCGUUACUUAUGGUUAUUUCUGCCAGUGCUUAACGAGUGAAGGCUUAGAAAAAUAUCGUUUUACUCUCCGGGAGAACGGCGGGCCAGAUACUCACCGUGUCCAGAUUCCCGCGACUUUACGACUCCUGACGUAAAUCAGAUUCUGACAGGUGUUCACCUGCCAGUGAGAAGUUUAAAAACAGAUAUUUUUGUGUUUUAUCUGUUACAAAUAUGGCGGCUCCGCGACACCGGAGGUGGAAGCCAGAGUGAGCGUUAACCCCCCUGUGGGCGGGCUCUGUGAGAGCGCCGAGGAACUGACCUCAGGUCGGUUCGAACGGCUGAGCCGCCGUCAGAUUGAGUCAUUAUAGGACAGACCGCUGACCUCAUAUCAGCCGGAGAGCAACGCAUUCCUGCCCGCAAAGCUCAGACAUCAGGUUCAGCAAAACACUGUAAAUGUGUCAAACAGCCGAAUUACCCUCGAAUUAUUAAUGAAAUAGCCAAUAAAGUCUCCUUAACCUGUAGUUAAAUUUAUGGUUAAACUAAACUAUAUUUCAACUAAAUCUAUAGUAUGAAUGUAAACACGAACCGUGCGCUGUAUAUUGAGCAGAAACCUGCAUUGCUUCAUAUAUUUAACUUUGAAAUUAAAUAUCUGCCAUUUCUGUGAAUCCGAUGUAGAAACAUUAUAUACUAAUAAUCUUGAUUAUUGAUUAUAUGUAUUGAUUGCAGUGUGUAAGAAUGCUCUUGGAAUUUUUUUUUUUUUUGUAUAAAUGUAAUGAAGCACCUUUAUUGUUCAGUUUACUUGACUGACCAAAAACACGUCAUGUUUGUUUAUUUAAUCAAUUUACAAUAUUUGAAUAAAUUUUGCAGAAAACAUUCUAUAGCACAAUAAGUCACUGUAGAAAUCGUGUUAGAGGAUUUUAUCCAUAGUGAACAUAUGUAACUGCUGUAUGAGUUAAUACAAUGUGGUUGCUACUUUCCAAAUGGAUAAAUGUAGAAUACUUGAAAUAACAAAAUAUUUAGUGUUAUAGUGGAGGAUAAAAAGUAAGAAACAUCUCAAGCUCAACAGCAGAAUGUGUUUCUAAUUAAACAUGAUAAAAAGCACUUAUAUUGUUCUAAUUAAUUUAAUUUGAAUUGUAUUAUUAUAUUUUUUGCUUCAUGAUAUGGUUAAAAUGAACAGUUGUAAAUGGAUUUUUCAGUCUGUGAUAAUGUAACUCACUCAAGAUUGCAAAGAUAAAAUCACAUUUUACAACUUGUUAAUUUGCUCUGUAUUUUGUAUAAUAAUAAACAAAACAAUCAAAAACUUA